GACGAACGCUGGCGGCGUGCUUAACACAUGCAAGUCGAGCGGAAAGGCCCUGCUUUUGCGUGGUGCUCGAGUGGCGCACGGGUGUGUAACACGUGAGUAUCCUGCCCUUGACUGUGGGAUAACUUCAGGAAACUGCGGCUAAUACCGGAUAGGAGCUCCUGAUGCAUGGUGGGGGUUGGAAAGUUUCGGCGGUUGGGGAUGGACUCGCGGCUUAUGAGCUGGUUGGUGGGGUAGUGGCUUACGAAGGCUUUGACGGAUAGCCCGCCUGAGAGGGUGACCAGGGACAAUGCGACUACGAGAGGGCGCAGACGGCAAUGGUAGGCAGCAGGGGGGAAUAUGGCACAGUGGGGGGACGCGUGAGGCGACGGUGCCGCGUGCGUAAUGACGGCCUUCUGGUUGUAAACCGCUGUCGCCUGUGACGAAGCGUUAUUGACGGUAAUGGGUAAAGAAGCACCGGCUAACUACGUG
rnacentral:rRNA from 1 species